GCGCACGUGGCGGAAUUGGUAGACGCGCUGGCUUGAGGGGCCAGUAUCCGUUUUAGGAUGUGGAAGUUCGAAUCUUCUCGUGCGCACAA
rnacentral:tRNA from 1 species